rnacentral:rRNA from 1 species
CACGCUGUAAACGAUGAUUACUAGGUGUGGGGGGACUGACCCCUUCCGUGCCGCAGUUAACACAAUAAGUAAUCCACCUGGGGAGUACGACCGCAAGGUUGAAACUCAAAGGAAUUGACGGGGGCCCGCACAAGCAGUGGAGUAUGUGGUUUAAUUCGAAGCAACGCGAAGAACCUUACCAGGUCUUGACAUCCCGUGCAUAGUGUAGAGAUACAUGAAGUCUUCGGACACGGAGACAGGUGG